UCUGGUUGGACUUUCUCAGGAAAGGCAGCUGAACUCAUGACUAGUACCAGUUCCACGGUUACCCUGGAAGUUGCAAAUCAAGACAUCCUCUCUCACUGCCUGUCCACCUUUCUUACCAACCCAUUGUCCUCCAUGGUGCAGAGAGACAGUUCUACAGUGGUGUCUAUGGUUAAGUGCCAGGCAGUGAGAACCCAGGAGUGAUAUUCAGAGGUACAAAGGAUGACCUGCAGGCCUGUCAUCAGUGCCUUGGCGUUUGUGGGACUCAUCCACAGAGGCAUGCAACUCAGAGAACGGUACCCCAACUUGGUGCACAGGAACUCUUUCAGGUGUCACUUGAUUGUCACAGGUUUCUGCUCGGUCAGCAAGGAAGGGAAGCCUAGCCCUGUGCCAGGAAUGACUGCAUAUGGUCAACACACACUACCCUGGAAGACCCGAGAGUUCAAGGACGGCCAACUUUCACUUAAGCAAACUUGUCCACAGACUGCGUGGGUCCCAUCAGCUGAGAGUAGCCUCCACAUUGCAGUGAUGUGCAAACUUCUGCCUUUCAGCCAUGAUGGACUUUAGGAUCUAACCUGAGGACCCUACACAAGGCACAGGUUCUGAGCCUGAUGGAGAGGACUCCUGCUAAACCCAGUGUUCCCAAGAAACUGGCUGUACCGGCAGGGCUAACUGUAGAGGAUUCUCCACGACCCUGAGAACACAAUUUGGAAAUCUCAGGCUUAAUGGAAUGGGAUGUUACAUUUGAAAACAUAAGACUCUGUUCUGCAGCACUUGUGGUUGAUGACCACUUGUGCUAGGACCAGUAGCCCAUGGAAGA
rnacentral:lncRNA from 1 species